ACUUCCUUACCCUAUUCGGAGUCAAGGUGAUAUUAUUAAGAUGUGUUAAUAUUCUAAGUUUGGGGUAAACCCCGUAAGUUUCAAAAACCAAGGUGAGUGCGAAAAAAAAGAGGACCAUCGAAAAAAAAAAGAGAAAAAAAAUAAACUCGAUGGUUCAAAAGAAGCACUGGCCGAAGGAAGGGCACUCGGUUGAAAAAAACAAGAAUAAAAAAGAAAAAACCCGAGCUAUUGAAAAAAAAGGAAAAGAAGUAAAAUGAACAAACAUAGUGAAAAUAAUAUUAACAUUGACUCUGAACCAAAAACCACUUGUUUCCCAUUUUAUUUGUAAUUUCCACACCAUAAC
rnacentral:lncRNA from 1 species